ensembl:snRNA U6 U6 spliceosomal RNA
GUGCUCCAUUCAGAAGCACAUAUACUAAAAUAGAACAAUACAGACAGGAUUAGCCAUGGCCCCUCCACAAGGAUGACAAACAAAUUCAUGAAGCAUUCCAUAUUUUU